UGGGCCCGCGCCUGAUUAGCUAGUUGGUGGGGUAGAAGCCUACCAAAGCGAUGAUACGUAGCCGACCUGAGAGGGUAAUCGGCCACAUUGGGACUGAGACACGGCCCAAACUCCUACGGGAGGCAGCAGUAGGGAAUCUUCCACAAUGGACGAAAGUCUGAUGGAGCAACGCCGCGUGAGUGAAGAAGGUUUUCGGAUCGUAAAACUCUGUUGUCAGAGAAGAACGUGUGCGAGAGUAACUGCUCGUGCAGUGACGGUAUCUGGCCAGAAAGCCACGGCUAACUACGUGCCAGCAGCCGCGGUAAUACGUAGGUGGCAAGCGUUGUCCGGAUUUAUUGGGCGUAAAGGGAACGCAGGCGGUCUUUUAAGUCUGAUGUGAAAGCCUUCGGCUUAACCGAAGUCGUGCAUUGGAAACUGGGAGACUUGAGUGCAGAAGAGGAGAGUGGAACUCCAUGUGUAGCGGUGAAAUGCGUAGAUAUAUGGAAGAACACCAGUGGCGAAAGCGGCUCUCUGGUCUGUAACUGACGCUGAGGUUCGAAAGCGUGGGUAGCAAACAGGAUUAGAUACCCUGGUAGUCCACGCUGUAAACGAUGAAUGCUAAGUGUUGGAGGGUUUCCGCCCUUCAGUGCCGCAGCAAACGCAUUAAGCAUUCCGCCUGGGGAGUACGACCGCAAGGUUGAAACUCAAAGGAAUUGAC
rnacentral:rRNA from 1 species